AGCUCUCCACAGCCGGAGGGAGGGGGACAGAGGAUGCACAGACCUCAGCUUCCAGUGUCAGCCUCUGGAAGCAUCCUGGCUCCAGGGACCCUCCAAGGUCAUCUCAUCCAACGCUAUCAAGCCUCUGGUGGGUGAGUCUAGAAGGGGCUCCAAGAACAACACCCUUCGCCUUCCCUGCCUGCAGAGAACGCUCCCUGGGCCAGGAGAAGCUCUGCCCAAGGGCUAACCCUCAGGCCACUCUUUCGGACAGCUUCAUCUGCAGUCAGAAUGACAUCUGCCCUCCUUCUGGCCGAUCCUGACACCAGCUCCUCUCUAGGUUCCAACUCUAUUAUCCCUUAAGCCCCAGUAAUUACAAAUGCAUAAAUAAAUGAAUACAUUUGCUUU
rnacentral:lncRNA from 1 species